GAUGAACGCUAGCGAUAGGCCUAACACAUGCAAGUCGAGGGGCAGCAUAGAGGAGCAAUACUUUGAUGGCGACCGGCGCACGGGUGAGUAACACGUAUGCAACCUACCUACAUCAGGGGAAUAACCCGGAGAAAUUCGGACUAAUACCGCAUAAUACAGGGAUGCCGCAUGGCAAUAUUUGUUAAAGAUUUAUCGGAUGUAGAUGGGCAUGCGUUCCAUUAGCUGGUUGGUAAGGUAACGGCUUACCAAGGCAACGAUGGAUAGGGGAACUGAGAGGUUUGUCCCCCACACUGGAACUGAGACACGGACCAGACUCCUACGGGAGGCAGCAGUGAGGAAUAUUGGUCAAUGGACGAGAGUCUGAACCAGCCAAAUUGCGUGAAGGAAGACUGCCCUACGGGUCGUAAACUUCUUUUGUACAGGAAUAAAAGACAUUACGUGUAAUGUAUUGCAUGUACUGUACGAAUAAGCAUCGGCUAACUCCGUGCCAGCCGCCGCAGUAA
rnacentral:rRNA from 1 species